UGGGGUAAGCAUGUAGGGCGGAACGUAGGUAAAUCCGCGUUCUAUUCAGCCUGAGAUGUGAUGCCGAGCCGAUUGUGGUGAAGUGGAUGAUCCUAUGCUGCCGAGAAAAGCCUCUAGUGAGUGUUGUGGCGGCCCGUACCCUAAACCGACUCAGGUGGUCAGGUAGAGAAUACCAAGGCGAUCGGGUGAACUGUGGUUAAGGAACUCGGCAAAUUGCCCCCGUAACUUCGGGAGAAGGGGGACCUCUGCUGGUGAUGGGCUUUACGUUCUGAGCUGGUGGGGGUCGCAGUGGCCAGGGGGAAGCGACUGUUUACUAAAAACACAGGUCCGUGCGAAGUCGUAAGACGAUGUAUACGGACUGACGCCUGCCCGGUGCCGGAACGUUAAGGGGACCGCUUAGCCAGCUUCGGUUGGCGAAGGUGAGAACUUAAGCGCCGGUAAACGGCGGUGGUAACUAUAACCAUCCUAAGGUAGCGAAAUUCCUUGUCGGGUAAGUUCCGACCUGCACGAAUGGCGUAACGACUUCCCCGCUGUCUCAACCACAGACCCGGCGAAAUUGCACUACGAGUAAAGAUGCUCGUUUCGCGCAGCAGGACGGAAAGACCCCGGGACCUUCACUACAGCUUGACAUUGGCGUUUGGAACGUCUUGUGUAGGAUAGGUGGGAGACUGGGAAGCUGUCACGCUAGUGAUGGUGGAGUCAUUGGUGAAAUACCACUCUGGUCGUUUUGAACGUCUAACUCUGGUCCGUGAUCCGGAUCGGGGACAGUGUCUGGUGGGUAGUUUAACUGGGGCGGUUGCCUCCUAAAGAGUAACGGAGGCGCCCAAAGGUUCCCUCAGCCUGGUUGGCAAUCAGGUGUUGAGUGUAAGUGCACAAGGGAGCUUGACUGUGAGACUGACAGGUCGAGCAGGAGCGAAAGCUGGGACUAGUGAUCCGGCAUCGGCGUGUGGAAGCGGUGUCGCUCAACGGCUAAAAGGUACCCCGGGGAUAACAGGCUGAUCUUCCCCAAGAGUCCAUAUCGACGGGAUGGUUUGGCACCUCGAUGUCGGCUCGUCGCAUCCUGGGGCUGGAGUAGGUCCCAAGGGUUGGGCUGUUCGCCCAUUAAAGCGGUACGCGAGCUGGGUUUAGAACGUCGCAAACAGUUCGGUCCCUAUCCGCUGCGCGCGCAGGAGACUUGAAGGGGGCUGUCCCUAGUACGAGAGGACCGGGACGGACGAACCUCUGGUGUGCCAGUUGUACCGCCAGGUGCACGGCUGGUUGGCUACGUUCGGAAGGGAUAACCGCUGAAAGCAUCUAAGCGGGAAGCUCGCCUUGAGAUGAGGUCUCCCACCCUGUGAGGGGGUAAGGCUCCCGGUAGAUCACCGGGUUGAUAGGCCGGAGGUGGAAGCACGGUAACGUGUGGAGCUGACCGGUACUAAUAGGCCGAGGACUUGACC
rnacentral:rRNA from 1 species